rnacentral:misc_RNA from 1 species
UUUCCGUAGGUGAACCUGCGGAAGGAUCAUUCAUAAUAAAGUGUUUUAUGGCACUUUUUAAAAAUCCAUAUCCACCUUGUGUGCAAUGUUAGAUCUCGUCAAUCUUGGCGAGGUUUUUAUACUUCAACUCAUUCUUUAACUAAUUUGUCUGAAAAAUAUUAUGAAUACUUAAUUCAAAAUACAACUUUCAACAACGGAUCUCUUGGCUCUU